UCGAUUAUUCGCAUUUUUUCUGCACUUCUCCUAUUGGUCUAUCAGAGACAAAAGGCGAUUAGAAACUGAUUUAAAAAGACUCAAUGCAACAUAAAUUGUAUUGUUGUGUACCAAUGAUAUACUAGAUUACCUUCGUCUCAGCCUUUGGCGCGAUAGUCAAGGAACCAUCUCUAAUGCUCUCAAUC